rnacentral:lncRNA from 1 species
CUGAAUAGUUUGCACAAGAAAUGAAAUUAUCGCACUUAUUCCACAGAUAUAGCCAUUGAGGGAAUGAAGCCAAAAUUCCAUCAUCUUUGCAAGAGAAGUUUUUAAGGACUCACUUAACCCUGUGAAGCUUCUGUCCACAAGCUCAUGGUCUUUUGCUUCGCUCUGAAAAGAACAAACUGAGAUUAUUAACCUUUGCUUAAUCUGACUACACAGCCUUAUAGAAAAUAAAAAGCAUUCUAGCCACUGAAUCCUUCCAGGAGAAAAAAAAAAAAAAAAACGAGCUGAAGACAGCCUUCAUUCCAAGAGUAUUUUGGGCCACUGAUUUUUAUCACCCAGAAAUCAAUCAGAAGGGCACACAAUGCCUAGAAAUCCCAAACCAGCUACUACAUCUAAGAGGUUCAUGAAUGAAGGCCACGGUGUUUGUGAAUACAAGAGAAGAGAGAAAAUGUGUCUCGCUAGCAAAAUUCAAAGGAGAUGCCCAUCAAGAAGAAAACAAAAGCUUUCCUCUGACACCAUCUGGCAUAAGAAAGGGGCACAGCUACUAGAAGGCAAGAAUAGAAGACCUUCCUCAGAGCCACCUGCCGACCUGAGCACCUUCAGUGCCCGCCGUGAUGUUGAAAACGCUACCAAGAAGUCUGGAUGGAACAUAAUAGAAUUAUUUCAACUAAUAUAUUAUCUUCAUGAAGGUCAAUUCUGAGCACAUAUGGAACAGCUUAUGUCAGAGAGAUUGCAGACUAGUGACACUGCCCCGGGACUCUGCCACUUUGAGCUGGCUUGAUUAAGUCACAGCACCCUGAGGUACAAUUGCUAUAUCACUGAAACGAAAAUAUCUACCUUUCAGAGUUGCUUUAAGUUCUU